GAGUUUGAUUCUGGCUCAGGAUGAACGCUGGCGGCGUGCCUAAUACAUGCAAGUCGAGCGAGAAUUUCACAAGUGGAGACUUCGGUCAAAGUGAGUGAAAGGAAAGCGGCGGACGGGUGAGUAAUGCGUGGGUAACCUGCCCUUUAGAGAGGGAUAGCAGUUGGAAACGGCUAUUAAUACCUCAUAAGCGCACAGUUUCGCAUGAAACGGUGUGAAAAGAUUUAUCGCUAAAGGAUGGACCCAUGUCCGAUUAGUUAGUUGGUGAGGUAACGGCUCACCAAGACCGCGAUCGGUAGCCGACCUGAGAGGGUGAUCGGCCACAUUGGGACUGAGACACGGCCCAAACUCCUACGGGAGGCAGCAGUAGGGAAUAUUGCACAAUGGGGGAAACCCUGAUGCAGCAACGCCGCGUGAACGAUGAAGGAUUUCGAUCUGUAAAGUUCUUUUGCUAGGAAAGAUAAUGACGUACCUAGCGAAUAAGCACCG
rnacentral:rRNA from 1 species